rnacentral:tRNA from 1 species
AAGGUUUUAAGUUAAUUCAUAAAACUAAUAUCCUUCAAAGUUAUAAAUAAAGUUUCUAUCUUUAGGCCUUA